UGGGGAAUAUUGCACAAUGGGCGCAAGCCUGAUGCAGCCAUGCCGCGUGUGUGAAGAAGGCCUUCGGUUGUAAGCACUUUCNGUCGAGGAGGAAGGUGGUGAACUUAAUACGUUCAUCAAUUGACGUUACUCGCAGAAGAAGCACCGGCUAACUCCGUGCCAGCAGCCGCGGUAAUACGGAGGGUGCAAGCNUUAAUCGGAAUUUACUGGGCGUAAAAGCGCACGCAGGCGGUUUGUUAAGUCAGAUGUGAAAAUCCCCGGGCUCAACCUGGGAACUGCAUUUGAAAACUGGCAAGCUAGAGUCUCGUAGAGGGGGGUAGAAUUCCAGGUGUAGCGGUGAAAUGCGUAGAGAUCUGGAGGAAUACCGUGGCGAAGGCAGCCCCCUGGACGAAGACUGACGCUCAGGUGCGAAAGCGU
rnacentral:rRNA from 1 species